CUUAGAUUGAAGUCCGAUAGAUGUUUAUUCGUAGGGUUCCCAAAGAAAACUAAAGGAUACUACUUCUACCUCACUGCAGAAUAAAAAGUAUUUGUCAGCCGUCGGAUAAUUUUUUUGAAAAAAGAGUUCCUUAGUGAAGGAGCUAAUGCCUGUAAAAUUGAACUUGAUGAAGUUUAAAAGGUAAAAGGACUGACACACAUAGAAUUAGAUUUGAUUGGAGAAUCGAAUUCGGAGCCAGU
rnacentral:lncRNA from 1 species